CGCGCCUAACACAUGCAAGUCGAACGGUUAAAGCAUCUUCGGAUGUGUAUAAAGUGCGAAACGGCUGAGUACACGUGGCAACCUGCCCUUUGCACUGGGAUAGCCUCGGGAAGCCGAGGUUAAUACCGGAUACUCCAUAUUUGUCGCAUGGCGAAUAUGGGAAAGCUCCGGCGGCAAAGGAUGGGCCCGCGGCCUGUUAGCUAGUUGGUGGGGUAGUGGCCUACCAAGGCAAUGAUGGGUAGCCGGGUUGAGAGACCGACCGGCCAGAUUGGGACUGAGACACGGCCCAGACUCCUACGGGAGGCAGCAGUGGGGAAUCUUGCACAAUGGGCGAAAGCCUGAUGCAGCGACGCCGCGUGCGGGAUGAAGGCCUUCGGGUUGUAAACCGCUUUCAGCAGGGACGAGGCCGCAAGGUGACGGUACCUGCAGAAGAAGCCCCGGCUAACUACGUGCCAGCAGCCGCGGUAAAU
rnacentral:rRNA from 1 species